rnacentral:rRNA from 1 species
AUUGAACGCUGGCGGCAUGCCUUACACAUGCAAGUCGAACGGCAGCACGGGGGCAACCCUGGUGGCGAGUGGCGAACGGGUGAGUAAUACAUCGGAACGUGCCCCGUAGCGGGGGACAACCAGUCGAAAGACUGGCUAAUACCGCAUACGCUUCCACGGAGGAAAGCAGGGGAUCGCAAGACCUUGCACUAUGGGAGCGGCCGAUGCCCGAUUAGCUAGUUGGGAGGUAAAGGCUCACCAAGGCAACGAUCGGUAGCUGGUCCUGAGAGGACGACCAGCCACACUGGGACUGAGACACGGCCCAGACUCCUACGGGAGGCAGCAGUGGGGAAUUUU